AUACGGAGGGUGCAAGCGUUAUCCGGAAUCACUGGGCGUAAAGGACGCGUAGGCGGGUUGGCAAGUCAGAUGUGAAAUCCUACAGCUUAACUGUAGAACUGCAUUUGAAACUGCUAACCUAGAGUAUGGGAGGGGGAGAUGGAAUUAGUGGUGUAGGGGUAAAAUCCGUAGAUAUCACUAGGAAUACCGAAAGCGAAGGCGAUCUCCUGGAACAUAACUGACGCUAAGGCGUGAAAGCGUGGGGAGCAAACAGGAUUAGAUACCCUAGUAGUCC
rnacentral:rRNA from 1 species